UACGAAGGGUGCAAACGUUGCUCGGAAUUAUUGGGCGUAAAGCGCACGUAGGCGGCAUUGCAAGUCGGAUGUGAAAUCUUAUGGCUUAACCAUAAAAGUGCAUCCGAAACUGCAGUGCUUGAGUACUUAAGAGGAUCGCGGAAUUCCCGGUGUAGAGGUGAAAUUCGUAGAUAUUAGGAAGAACACCGGUGGCGAAGGCGGCCCACUGGAUCGGUACUGACGCUGAGGUGCGAAAGCGUGGGGAGCAAACAGG
rnacentral:rRNA from 1 species